AAAAUUGUUGAAAAAACAUCAAGUGUUAUUAUUAUGUAAUAAAUAUUAUGGUACACCUAUUAUUACUAUUACUUGUAGUGGGCUAAAUUUGCUCGGCCCGUUAUAAACUAAAAAAAAUCCAAAUAUUAAAUCAGUCCAAUUAUAUAGCCCAAAUUCAAAAGCCAAUACAAGCCCAAUUUAACUCAGACCCAAAGUUACAUUGGCCCAAACGGCCCGAAACAUUUUAGGAACAGAAACCCUAAGGUUUUGUUCCCCUUUUGCGCUGCAGCCCUAAUCGCCAGCUACCUCCAUACGCCAGCGCAUAGCCUCCGUACGUGCUCCAUGUUCUCCUCCGUACCUGCAAAAGAAGACAAGCAAAGGACAAGAACAGCACAGCAAAAACAGCAGCAAAGAGAAAAAAAGAAAAAAGAAAUUCUUUGUAUUUUUAUUUUUAUUUCGGCUAUAUAAAAGCCCUAUGUUCUUUGUAAUCGGGGGGAAUACACGCAUAAUAUACAAAAAAAAAGAGCAAUCGAAUACAAGAAAGAAUCAAGGUGUUUCUUUCUAUUUUGUUUUCUCAUUUCCUUUGCAAGUCCAGUUUCGAAUAUAACACAUAUAUAUAGAUAUUCAAAAAGAAAGCGAAAAAGAGGUUACCUUUUGAGAUCGGGGAAAGGAACCUACCUUCGGUUUCGACCAUCAGAGACCCUUUCUCCGGCGUGGAUUCGGACCAAAGGACGCAUCUCGUCUCCUUUGUUCCCGAGUCUUGAGCCGUAAUGAGUGGAGGCGCAUGGGAUGCCGGUGAGACUUUUGAGUCGGCCAAACUGAGAAAAAUGGGGGAUUUCUAAGUUUUUUUUAGAAUUAGGGUUUCAAAUGAGGGCUUGGGAAAUUUUGGGGUUUUUAUCGUAACCACGAAACGACACCGUUUCGUCCAGCCCCAAAAAUCCUUCAAAACGACACCAUUUUGGAGCCAAACCUAAUGACCCGACCCGGAUUCUUCUUAGAUCGGCGCGUCUCUUGGGAAGGGGAUAAUUGCGGGUGUAGUCCUUUCACAUUUCUGUUGCGUGUUAAUGCAGUUUGUUUUUAUUUUAAUUUCUCCCCUUAAUUUAAAUAUUGUUUCAAAUUAGCCCAUGAUUAAACACUGCUUUUUGCGACUUGAAAUAUUUACAUUUUUAAUCCUCAUAUGUUUGCGCUCAUUGCGCUUUAGUCCCUUUUUUAUUCCAAUGUUUUAUUUUAUUUAUUAAGUAUCUCUUUUAUCCUAAUCUUAUUUUAAUUGAGC
rnacentral:lncRNA from 1 species